AUUGAACGCUGGCGGCAGGCCUAACACAUGCAAGUCGAACGAGUGGCGGACGUGUUAGUAAUGACUGGGAAACUUCGUGAGGGAUGGGGAUAACUACUGGGAGCUGAUGCUACUACCGCAUACACUCGGAUGUGCCCGGAUGGGAUUAGCUAGUAGGUGGGGUAAAGGCUCACCUAGGCCACGAUCCCUAACUGGUAUGAGAGGAUGAACAGCCACACUGGAACUGAGACACGGUCCAGACUCCUACGGGAGGCAGCAGUGGGGAAUAUUGCACAAUGGGCGAAAGCCUGAUGCAGCCAUGCCGCGUGUAUGAAGAAGGCCUUCGGGUUGUAAAGUACUUUAAGCGGGGAGGUGUUACCCGCAGAAUAAGCACCGGCUAACUUCGUGCCAGCAGCCGCGGUAAUUC
rnacentral:rRNA from 1 species